AAAGUACUCCCUCCGUCCCAAAAUUCUUGUCUUGGAUUUGUCUAGAUACGAAUGUAUCAAGUCACAUUUCAGUAUUAGAUACAUCCGUAUCUGGACAAAUCUAAGACAAGAAAUUUGGGACAGAGGGAGUAGUUG
rnacentral:pre_miRNA from 1 species